CAUUCACGGAGAGUUUGAUCCUGGCUCAGGACGAACGCUGGCGGCGUGCUUAACACAUGCAAGUCGAACGAUGAACCACUUCGGUGGGGAUUAGUGGCGAACGGGUGAGUAACACGUGGGCAAUCUGCCCUUCACUCUGGGACAAGCCCUGGAAACGGGGUCUAAUACCGGAUAACACUUCCGCACUCAUGUGCGGGGGUUAAAAGCUCCGGCGGUGAAGGAUGAGCCCGCGGCCUAUCAGCUUGUUGGUGAGGUAAUGGCUCACCAAGGCGACGACGGGUAGCCGGCCUGAGAGGGCGACCGGCCACACUGGGACUGAGACACGGCCCAGACUCCUACGGGAGGCAGCAGUGGGGAAUAUUGCACAAUGGGCGAAAGCCUGAUGCAGCGACGCCGCGUGAGGGAUGACGGCCUUCGGGUUGUAAACCUCUUUCAGCAGGGAAGAAGCGAAAGUGACGGUACCUGCAGAAGAAGCGCCGGCUAACUACGUGCCAGCAGCCGCGGUAAUACGUAGGGCGCGAGCGUUGUCCGGAAUUAUUGGGCGUAAAGAGCUCGUAGGCGGCUUGUCACGUCGGUUGUGAAAGCCCGGGGCUUAACCCCGGGUCUGCAGUCGAUACGGGCAGGCUAGAGUGUGGUAGGGGAGAUCGGAAUUCCUGGUGUAGCGGUGAAAUGCGCAGAUAUCAGGAGGAACACCGGUGGCGAAGGCGGAUCUCUGGGCC
rnacentral:rRNA from 1 species